GGGGGAUAGAGGUAGUUUUAGGUGAGGGGGGAUAGAUGUAGUUUGAGGUGAGAUGGAGGUAGAUUGAGGUGAGGGGGAUGGAGGUAGAUUGAGGUGAUAUGGAGG